UUUGAACUUCCCAUUCUAACGGGAAGACCUUGUCAGAGAGAAAUCGGAAUUUGCACAGAUUUGAGAAGUGAUAAUUUGCCUCAAUAUACAUAAAUAAAAGCAGAGCUUGUCUGUCAUCAGCCUGGACAAUGACUAACCCGGCAGAAGUGAUCAUCUCUGGACUAGUCAAGAGCUGCCUGUGAAGGGGGACGCACACAGUGACUUCUCUUGAUGAAUUAUUUCUCCUGAUGAAUAAAAAUCCUCUUCAGAGGCAGUGCCUACUGAACUAGAGGUGCUCUGGAAAAAUCCUAGGAUUAUUUACUGGGUGACUCUUCUGAAGAAGGAGGACAGAUGCUCUGAAACUGGUCAAAGAGGGGAGAAUUCCAGCAUCUGUGUGUACACAAGUCUGCAUGUGUGUGAGAACAUGUGCAUGUGUGUUACAUAUGUUAAGGUCUGGACACUUGAAAUCUGGAUCACUUCUCAGCUAAACUUCUAUGUUUAGACAAGCUGGCUAAA